rnacentral:rRNA from 1 species
GAUGAACGCUGGCGGCGUGCCUAAUACAUGCAAGUCGAGCGAACAGAUAAGGAGCUUGCUCCUUUGACGUUAGCGGCUGACGGGUGAGUAACACGUGGUUAACCUACCUAUAAGACUGGAAUAACUCCGGGAAACCGGGGCUAAUGCCGGAUAACAUUUAGAACCGCAUGGUUCUAAAGUGAAAGAUGGUUUUGCUAUCACUUAUAGAUGGACCCGCGCCGUAUUAGCUAGUUGGUAAGGUAACGGCUUACCAAGGCAACGAUACGUAGCCGACCUGAGAGGGUGAUCGGCCACACUGGAACUGAGACACGGUCCAGACUCCUACGGGAGGCAGCAGUAGGGAAUCUUCCGCAAUGGGCGAAAGCCUGACGGAGCAACGCCGCGUGAGUGAUGAAGGUCUUCGGAUCGUAAAACUCUGUUAUUAGGGAAGAACAAAUGUGUAAGUAACUGUGCACGUCUUGACGGUACCUAAUCAGAAAGCCACGGCUAACUACGUG